AUUGAACGCUGGCGGCAGGCCUAACACAUGCAAGUCGAACGGUAACAGGAAGAAGCUUGCUUCUUUGCUGACGAGUGGCGGACGGGUGAGUAAUGUCUGGGAAACUGCCUGAUGGAGGGGGAUAACUACUGGAAACGGUAGCUAAUACCGCAUAACGUCGCAAGGCCAAAGAGGGGGACCUUCGGGCCUCUUGCCAUCGGAUGUGCCCAGAUGGGAUUAGCUAGUAGGUGGGGUAACGGCUCACCUAGGCGACGAUCCCUAGCUGGUCUGAGAGGAUGACCAGCCACACUGGAACUGAGACACGGUCCAGACUCCUACGGGAGGCAACAGUGGGGAAUAUUGCACAAUGGGCGCAAGCCUGAUGCAGCCAUGCCGCGUGUAUGAAGAAGGCCUUCGGGUUGUAAAGUACUUUCAGCGGGGAGGAAGGGAGUAAAGUUAAUACCUUUACUCAUUGACGUUACCCGCAGAAGAAGCACCGGCUAACUCCGUG
rnacentral:rRNA from 1 species